rnacentral:tRNA from 1 species
GCAGUCGUGCCCGAGUGGUUAAGGCGAUGGACUUGAAAUCCAUUGGGGUUUCCCCGCUCAGGUUCGAAUCCUGCCGUCUGCG